UCAAAUCUUCCACCUUUGUGUUCUUGGCCAAAAAUUGCAUUCUUGUUGUGUCUUGGCCAAGAUUUGUUUGUUGUAUAUCUAGAUCUAGUAGUGUUCUUGUUUGUUUUGUUGUUUUUAGUGUUAGUUUUCUUGUCCACUAACACUUUGAGUCUAGAUCUAAACUUGAGCUUGAACUUGUUGAAUUUGUAGUUGUCUUGGCCAAGUGUUGGAGAUAUUGUUAUUGUGGAUUGGAGUUGGCCGUGUGAAAAAUUGUUGGUGUUCUUGAAGAUUAUUGUUGUAGUUCUUGGUGUUGUUUUUGUUGUUCUUGAUAUUCAUCACCACCUUCAUAUAUUGUUGGAGAUAAAGUGAAUGUUAAAUCCAAAAAGUUGAAGGAAAAGGGUGUAUUAUUUGUUAGUCUUGAAAGAUACUACAACCAACAAGGACCUAUCAAUCAAGUCUCAACCACUGUCCAACACUUUUCCAUGAUUUAAGGAUCCAUGUUUUAAGGAGAAGUACAAGAAAAAGUCAAGUCUUGAAAAUUGAAAAAGGCUCCAAGACUUAUUUUCCCUCCUAAAACAAAUUCCACCAAUCUAAAUUAAUUUUUUUUUGACCAAGACUUGAACAUUUGAGAAUAACCACUUGAUAGAAUCAAACUAAUACGUGGCUGCCAUGUCAUCACUGCUACUAUUCACGCAAUAUUUCCGAGCUCAAAA
rnacentral:lncRNA from 1 species